rnacentral:rRNA from 1 species
GAUGAACGCUGGCGGCGUGCCUAAUACAUGCAAGUCGAGCGAACAGACGAGGAGCUUGCUCCUCUGACGUUAGCGGCGGACGGGUGAGUAACACGUGGAUAACCUACCUAUAAGACUGGGAUAACUUCGGGAAACCGGAGCUAAUGCCGGAUAAUAUAUUGAACCGCAUGGUUCAAUAGUGAAAGACGGUUUUGCUGUCACUUAUAGAUGGAUCCGCGCCGCAUUAGCUAGUUGGUAAGGUAACGGCUUACCAAGGCAACGAUGCGUAGCCGACCUGAGAGGGUGAUCGGCCACACUGGAACUGAGACACGGUCCAGACUCCUACGGGAGGCAGCAGUAGGGAAUCUUCCGCAAUGGGCGAAAGCUUGACGGAGCAACGCCGAGUGAGUGAUGAAGGUCUUCGGAUCGUAAAACUCUGUUAUUAGGGAAGAACAAAUGUGUAAGUAACUAUGCACGUCUUGACGGUACCUAAUCAGAAAGCCACGGCUAACUACGUG